rnacentral:rRNA from 1 species
GUACGGGAGGCAGCAGUAAGGAAUAUUGGACAAUGGGGGAAACCCUGAUCCAGCAACGCCGCGUGGGCGACGAAGGUCUUCGGAUCGUAAAGCCCUUUUCUGCGGGAAGAGAGAGGACGGUACCGCAGGAAUAAGUCUCGGCUAACUACGUGCCAGCAGCCGCGGUAAAACGUAGGAGGCUAGCGUUAUCCGGAUUUACUGGGCGUAAAGCGCGUGCAGGCGGUCGUGCAAGUUGGGCGUGAAAUCUCCUGGCUUAACUGGGAGGGGCCGUCCAAAACUGCGCGACUUGAGGGCAGGAGAGGGAAGUAGAAUUCCCGGUGUAGCGGUAAUAUGCGCAGAUAUCGGGAGGAAUACCAGUGGCGAAGGCGGCUUCCUGGCCUGUACCUGACGCUAAGACGCGAAAGCUAGGGGAGCGAACGGGAUUAGAUACCCCUGUAGUCCU